GGGCUGNCCACUGACAUACGUUAAAGGGCCGCGGUAUUUUGACCGUGCGAAGGUAGCAUAAUCAUUAGUCUUUUAAUUGGAGGCUUGUAUGAAUGGUUGGACAAAAAAUAAGCUGUCUCUGUUUUAAAUCUUGAAUUUAACUUUUAAGUGAAAAGGCUUAAAUGGUCUGGGGGGACGAUAAGACCCUAUAAAGCUUUACAGNUUGUUGAUUAAAUUAUAAAUUGUUAGUGUGAACUUAAUUUAUUUGAUAGCUGUUUCGUUGGGGCGACGAAAAUAUAAUAAAUAGUAACUGUUUUUCUUUUAUAAUAACAAUGAUUUUUGGUAGUAAUUGAUCCUUUAUUAAAGAUUAAAAGAUUAAGUUACUUUAGGGAUAACAGCGUAAUCUUCUUUGAGAGUCCAUAUCGACAAGAAGGGUUGCGACCUCGAAGUAGAAUUAAGGUUUCCUNGAGGAGUAGCAGUUUCAUGGG
rnacentral:rRNA from 1 species